rnacentral:miRNA from 1 species
GCCAAAAAGUUCGUUCGGGUUUUUGGGUAAGAUGUUAAAUACCCGAACAAACUUUUGGGC